GGUCAAGUUAUUAAGGGUGCAGGGCGGAUGCCUUGGCACUAGGAGCCGAUGAAGGACGUGAUAAGCUGCGAUAAGCUUCGGGGAGUUGCACGUAAACUUUGAUCCGAAGAUUUCCGAAUGAGGAAACUCACUUAGAGUAAUGUCUAAGUAUCAUUAAGUGAAUACAUAGCUUAAUGAGGGGAACUCAGGGAACUGAAACAUCUAAGUACCUGAAGGAAGAGAAAGAAAUUCGAUUCCGUAAGUAGCGGCGAGCGAACGCGGAUUAGCCCAAACCAAUAAAGUUUUCUUUAUUGGGGUUGCGGACAUAUCAUAACGAAGAGGUAUCGUAAUUGAAGAGGUUUGGAAAGACCCACCACAGAAGGUAAUAGUCCUGUAUGUUAAACGAGAAGACUUUAGAUAUGAUCCAGAGUACCACGGGACACGUGAAACCCUGUGGGAAGCAGGAGGGACCACCCUCCAAGGCUAAAUACUACCUAGUGACCGAUAGCGUAUAGUACCGUGAGGGAAAGGUGAAAAGAACCCCGUGAGGGGAGUGAAAUAGAACCUGAAACCCUGCACUUACAAGCUGUGGAAGCACAUUUCUUGUGUGACCGCGUACUUUUUGUAGAACGGGCCAACGAGUUACGUUAAGUAGCAAGGUUAAGCACUUAAGGUGUGGAGCCGUAGCGAAAGCGAGUUUUAACUGAGCGUUCAGUUACUUGACGUAGACCCGAAACCGGGCGACCUACCCAUGAGCAGGAUGAAGCGAAAGUAAAAUUUCGUGGAGGUCCGAACCCACGAGCGUUGAAAAGCUCGGGGAUGACUUGUGGGUAGCGGUGAAAUUCCAAUCGAGCCCGGAGAUAGCUGGUUCUCCCCGAAAUAGCUUUAGGGCUAGCCUCAAGGUGAGAGAUACGGAGGUAGAGCACUGAAUGUCCUAGGGGGUAUUGCACCUACCGAAGACUAUCAAACUCCGAAUGCCGUCAUCUUAUACUUGGGAGUCAGACUGUGGGUGAUAAGAUUCAUAGUCGAAAGGGCAACAGCCCAGAUCGUCAGCUAAGGUCCCUAAAUGUAAGUUAAGUGGUAAAGGAUGUGGGAUUGCACAGACAACCAGGAUGUUGGCUUAGAAGCAGCCACUCAUUCAAAGAGUGCGUAAUAGCUCACUGGUCGAGUGAUCCUGCGCCGAAGAUUUCCGGGGCUAAAACUUACUACCGAAGCUACGGCAUCAGUAAUGAUGGGUAGGGGAGCUUCCCAUACGGGUUGAAGCAUGACCGUAAGGACAUGUGGACAGUAUGGGAGUGAGAAUGUUGGCAUGAGUAGCGAGAUGUGGGUGAGAAUCCCACAGGCCGUAAACCCAAGGUUUCCAGGGGAAGGUUCGUCCGCCCUGGGUUAGUCGGGACCUAAGCUGAGGCCGAAAGGCGUAGGUGAUGGACAACAGGUUGAUAUUCCUGUAC
rnacentral:rRNA from 1 species